AUUGAACGCUGGCGGAAUGCUUUACACAUGCAAGUCGAACGGCAGCACGGGAGCUUGCUCCUGGUGGCGAGUGGCGAACGGGUGAGUAAUAUAUCGGAACGUAUCCAAUAAUGGGGGAUAACUAGUCGAAAGAUUAGCUAAUACCGCAUACGCCCUGAGGGGGAAAGCUAGGGACCGCAAGGCCUGGCGUUAAUGCAGCGGCCGAUAUCUGAUUAGCAAGUUGGUGAGGUAAAGGCUCACCAAGGCGACGAUCAGUAGCUGGUCUGAGAGGACGACCAGGCACACUGGAACUGAGACACGGUCCAGACUCCUACGGGAGGCAGCAGUGGGGUAUUUUGGACAAUGGGCGCAAGCCUGAUCCAGCCAUUCCGCGUGAGUGAAGAAGGCCUUCGGGUUGUAAAGCUCUUUCGCAAGGGAAGAAAACUUAUCCUCUAACAUAGGAUGAGGUUGACGGUACCUUGAUAAGAAGCACCGGCUAACUACGUGCCAGCCGCCGCCGUAA
rnacentral:rRNA from 1 species